UACGUAGGGGGCAAGCGUUGUCCGGAUUUAUUGGGCGUAAAGCGCGCGUAGGCGGCGCGGUAUGUCGUGCGUGAAAUCUCCCGGCUUAACUGGGAGGGGCCGUGCGAAACUGCCGGGCUUGAGGUCGGAAGGGGAAAGUGGAAUUCCGGGUGUAGUGGUGGAAUACGUAGAUAUCCGGAGGAACACCAGCGGCGAAGGCGGCUUUCUGGGCCGAUACUGACGCUGAGGUGCGAAAGCGUGGGGAGCGAUCCGG
rnacentral:rRNA from 1 species